rnacentral:rRNA from 1 species
AUACGGUGGGGGCAAGCGUUGCUCGGAAUUACUGGGCGUAAAGGGUCUGCAGGUAGCUUUGUAAGUUAGAUGUGAAAUCUCAGGGCUCAUCCCUUAAACUGCAUCUAAUACUGCAGAGCUUGAGUACAGGAGAGGUUGGCGGAAUUCCCGGUGUAGCGGUGAAAUGCGUAGAUAUCGGGAGGAACAUCAGUGGCGAAGGCGGCCAACUGGCCUGUUACUGACACUCAGGGACGAAAGCGUGGGUAGCGAACCGGAUUAGAAACCCCGGUAGUCC